AACAUUCCAAUCGCUGCUCUGGCAAAAGUGUGAUCGUUGCAGUCACCGAUUCAUGUUGUGUUUUGUCCGUGUGUCUUCCGAGUGCUUCCAACAGCCCCACAAAAGCAGCUUUCCAUCAAUUACUCUGAACUACUAUGACGCUGUCACUCGCCCUCCUCAUAGCGUCUUUCCAAGACCGAGAGCUGCUGGACGAUUUGAGUGCUGCAGCCCCCGGAAAAGUCCUCAAAUUGAUUGAAAAUUAGCCUAACUUGCGGGAGGUGUCGGAGAAUCAUCACUCGUUCGACUGGGGUGAUUCUUCGAAGAAAAGCUCACCCACUUCUGAUCUAGGUUCAGAAAUAUCGACCACCCCGAGUGAUGCCAAUUUAAUUUGGGUGGACAAGUAUUCGUUUUUUUCGCAAAAUGAUUCAGAUGGACCGCAAAGCGUGGACGAUAUGGCGGAAGCGAGUGUCGCACGUUACGUCAGCAUGUUGAUGGACAUGGUGGAGAAUGCGACUAUGCGAUUCAACAAUAGUUAUGCUUUCAGCCACGAUGAGGCAAGUGAAUGAACGACCACGAUUGGCUCUUUGCCAUCAACAUUGCCACCCUUUCAGGUGAAAAUAUUCUAUGAAAACCGCGAUAUUUUGGACUUGGGGGCCAAUUUAACCGGCGCAUUCCCCCUUACUCAUCCAGCCAGAAAUCAGCAGGCUCUAACCAAAAGAUCGCCCUUGGAAAUCUGGCCGUUGGACAGCACGACACCUAAUCUUCACUCGCCAAACAACGAUUCGCUACUGGAAUGAACUAAAUAAUUCAUUCCCAUCUUUUGCAUGCACUUACACUUUAGACUUAAUGUUCCAUAACAUUGCAGUUUUAUUUUUAUGUACGAGUCCAUGGACAAGUACAUAUAUGCAUAAACAUGCCAGACUAAUGCCAAUUGUUGGCAAAAUCCCUUAACAGUGCCGCUUCCUUUGCGUGACAAGGAAAGGGAAAUGCCUAAACUAAACUAAAUAAAAUUGUACUCAAUUGUGUUGAUCAUAACUCAGUUAUGAUCUAAUAAACGGCAAUGUAAUACAAAACGA
rnacentral:lncRNA from 1 species